CACGUAGGGUGCGAGCGUUGUUCGGAAUUAUUGGGCGUAAAGAGCUCGUAGGCGGUGUGUCGCGUCGGCCGUGAAAACCUGCAGCUUAACUGUGGGCGUGCGGUCGAUACGGGCAUCACUGGAGUUCGGCAGGGGAGACUGGAAUUCCUGGUGUAGCGGUGAAAUGCGCAGAUAUCAGGAGGAACACCGAUGGCGAAGGCAGGUCUCUGGGCCAUAACUGACGCUGAGAAGCGAAAGCAUGGGGAGCGAACAGG
rnacentral:rRNA from 1 species